CACCCGACCUCGAGCGAGACCUCCAGCCGACGCCGCCGCACCUGACCCGUCUUCCCCUGGGCCAGGCGCGGCGGCGGACGGAUGGGGAUCCCGCCCGAGGUCCGCCAGGAC
rfam:Micrococcus luteus NCTC 2665, complete genome.